rnacentral:misc_RNA from 1 species
UUAACUAUUAUAUAGUACUCAGACGACACUAAUAUUCAGAGUUUGGGGUCCUCUGGCGAGCACUCACCAGCAGAAGCCGGUGGCCGAAGCGGCUCGCCAAAGCAACAAAGGUUGUAUUAACAUAGGGUUGGAGAGUCACCCGUGAGGGCGAUGUUCUCUGUAAUGAUCCCUCCGCAGGUUCACCUACGGAGA